UACAGGGGGUGCUAGCGUUGUUCGGAAUUACUGGGCGUAAAGGGCGCGUAGGCGGCUUUGUAAGUCAGAUGUGAAAUCCCGGGGCUUAACUCCGGACGUGCAUUUGAAACUGCGAGGCUAGAGUACAGUAGAGGAUGGUAGAAUUCCCAGUGUAGAGGUGAAAUUCGUAGAUAUUGGGAAGAACACCGGUGGCGAAGGCGGCUCACUGGCUCGUAUCUGACGCUCAGGCGCGACAGCGUGGGGAUCAAACAGG
rnacentral:rRNA from 1 species